ensembl:misc_RNA Metazoa_SRP Metazoan signal recognition particle RNA
GUCGGGCGCGGUGGCAGGGGCCUAUAGUCCCAGCUACUCAGGAGGCUGAGGUGGGAGGAUCGCUUGAGCCCAGGAGUUCUGUACUGUAGUGCGCUAUGCCGAUCGGGUGUCCGAACUAAGUUCAGCAUCACUACGGUGACCUCCCGGGAGCAGGGAACCACCAGGUUGCCUAAAAACGGGUGAACCGGCCCAGGUGGGAAAUGAAGCAAGUCAAAACUCCCAUGCUGAUCUGUAGUGGGAUAGUGCCUGUGAAUAGCCACUGCACUCCAGCCUGGGCAACAUAGCGAGAUACUGGCUCUU